rnacentral:tRNA from 1 species
GGAGAGGUGCCUGAGUGGCUGAAGGGAGCCGCCUGCUAAGCGGUUGUCCUGCCUAAAAGCGGGACCCUGGGUUCAAAUCCCAGCCUCUCCGCCA